UACGUAGGGUGCGAGCGUUGUCCGGAAUCAUUGGGCGUAAAGAGCGUGUAGGCGGCCCGGUAAGUCCGCUGUGAAAGUCGGGGGCUCAACCCUCGAAUGCCGGUGGAUACUGUCGGGCUAGAGUGCGGAAGAGGCGAGUGGAAUUCCUGGUGUAGCGGUGAAAUGCGCAGAUAUCAGGAGGAACACCAAUUGCGAAGGCAGCUCGCUGGGACGUAACUGACGCUGAGACGCGAAAGCGUGGGGAGCAAACAGG
rnacentral:rRNA from 1 species